AAUUUUAAUUUCACGAAACUCGCCUGUAACUUCAAUCUGUGUCCAACCGUCUUUUGGUUUCCACGGUAACUCUCGACACAAAUAACUGGCCGCAGUGCCGCCGCUCUGAAGUUGGUCUCUCGGCGGGCAAAUAUUAUCAACUCUCUGCCGCGAGUUCGCGUGGAAUAAGUAGCACAAAUCAGCACAAGUUAGAGAAAUUAACAACAACGGAAAAUACGGACGUGCCGUGUAUCCCUAUUCAGUUGGACUAUUGCUGCUGGCAUCUGCAGCUCUGCUCAAGCUAUGAAAAGAAGGAAGGAGACGUCCAGGACUGAACAGAGCUGUCACCUGUCACAGUGCAGUGCACCGACUGACUGCCGCUAUUUGCUUGGAUGUUGCUGAAAGAAAGGAGGCAUUCUUCAUUGUGCAGCACUAGCCUACUGUGGAGGCCGAGAGAGUUUUGACGAGGCUUCUGUACCCAGGAGGCGGAGGCAGCAAUUCCAGCUUCAAUGCGCACAGUCCUUUAAAAGGGACACCCAGCUAAGAUUUUAUUGCAAAUUCUACACAGAAUGCAUUGCUCUACACAUUUGGUUUUGGAAACACUGUGUAUUAUUGUAAGUGUACACCAGGGGUGGGGAACCUUUUUCAUUUGAAGGGCCACUUCAAAUUACUCUGAGGGCCG